AAGUAAACUAUUAAAUCAGUAGUCUGAGUUGGCCUAGUGUCAUAUCUUUUUUAAAUAAAUUAAAACUUUCAACAACGGAUCUCUUGGCUCUCGUAUCGAUGAAGAACGCAGCGAAAUGCGAUAAGUAAUGUGAAUUGCAGAAUUCAGUGAAUCAUCGAAUCUUUGAACGCACAUUGCGCCCCUUGGUAUUCCUUGGGGCAUGCCUGUUCGAGCGUCACUGCAAACCCACUCAUAAAUAUUAUGGUAAUGAUGGAUGUGAAGGGAGGCUACUAAUAUGUCUCAGUCACCCCAUUGAAAUACAUAGGCAGGACAAUUAUCUUUAGCAAAGGACUUAGUAACUGUUUUGAAGACAUAUAUUAGUUUCUUGCUAGGACUUGGACUGACUUCUAUGGAUCUCCAUUAAAGAUAAAUUCUGGGUUGACCUCGGAUCAGGUAGGGAUACCCGCUGAACUUAAGCAUAUCAUA
rnacentral:rRNA from 1 species